AUGGGAACGCGAAGAACCUUACCUAGACUUGACAUCCCCUGAAUUACCAUGUAAUGUGGGAAGCCCUUCGGGGCAGGGAGACAGGUGGUGCAUGGUUGUCGUCAGCUCGUGUCGUGAGAUGUUGGGUUAAGUCCCGCAACGAGCGCAACCCUUAUUACUAGUUGCUACCAUUAAGUUGAGCACUCUAGUGAGACUGCCCGGGUUAACCGGGAGGAAGGCGGGGAUGACGUCAAAUCAUCAUGCCCCUUAUGUCUAGGGCAACACACGUGCUACAAUGGUGAGUACAGAUAGAUGCGAUACCGCAAGGUGGAGCCAAACUCUAAAACUCAUCCCAGUUCGGAUUGUAGGCUGCAACUCGCCUACAUGAAGUUGGAGUUGCUAGUAAUCGCGAAUCAGAAUGUCGCGGUGAAUACGUUCCCGGGUCUUGUACACACCG
rnacentral:rRNA from 1 species